rnacentral:rRNA from 1 species
UACGUAGGUGGCGAGCGUUGUCCGGAUUUACUGGGCGUAAAGAGCGCGCAGGCGGCUGGUCAAGUCCGAUGUGAAAGCUCCCGGCUUAACUGGGAAAUUGCAUCGGAAACUGAUCGGCUGGAAGGUGGGAGAGGGUAGCGGAAUUCCCGGUGUAGUGGUGAAAUGCGUAGAUAUCGGGAGGAACACCAGUGGCGAAAGCGGCUACCUGGCCCAUUUACUGACGCUGAGGCGCGAAAGCUAGGGGAGCAAACGGG